AAACGGAAGCGGGUCGGCAUUUACACUUUCUGAGUAAGAACCGGUACUGACGGCAGGCGGGCCCUUAGCCGUCAGAACACAGCUGCCUCUCAAUCAGUUCAGCGCCCGGCCAAGCUCGAUGUGAGCCAAUUCCUGCCCUGGGUAAGGUCGGGAGAGCCCAGAGCGCCUGGCAGCCGUGAGCCUAGGGCUCUCGGGUCCGCAGUCGCAGGGCUUGCGCUUGGAGUGUGCGGAGAAGUGGGGCAUCACCCUGAAAUGAGAAAGCCCAAAACCGCCUCGGGAAAACCAUCCACGACAAUCAAGAAGAUGCCGGCCAGGGCUGAGCGUCAAAAUACUCUUUUGACGGAUCUUUUUUAAUCAUUAUUUUCAAAACCUGUGAUCUUACUUUUUCGCAGCAGCGCCAUGUAUGUCCACGUUGGUAAGGGCUGACACCUGCGGAUUGAAGAAUAAAAUUUAGUUUCAAUGA